rnacentral:lncRNA from 10 species
CCUAGUGAGAUGAACCCGGUACCUCAGAUGGAAAUGCAGAAAUCACCGUCUUCUGCGUCGCUCAUGCUGGGAGCUGUAGACCGGAGCCGUUCCUAUUCGGCCAUCUUGGCUCCUCCAGGCCCUUAAAAUUAUAUUUCUUUCAUACUAAAGUGUGGGAGGAAAUAUGGGUAUCACCUUCCUGGCGAUUUCCCAUGGCUGGGACCUCUUAGGAAGCAGUCUCCCUAGAGUAUUUCAAAAUAAUUAUGAAAUACCUACUUCCUGUCGAAAGGUGUCCCUCCUAUUUACUCUGAGUUUUCAUAAAUAAUUUACAAUACAAAAGUAUUUGAUGGUGUGACAUUUUAAAGACAAGGAACAGAAUGAUUCCUAAAGGCUCCUCCAUAUCUAUAACAUUUUAAAAAAUCAACCGAUUGCUGUUUGUAAUCUCUCCCUGAUUUUGCUGCAAAUGACUAAUCUUAGUAUUUUCCUUCUUGUUGCAGUUCUCACCUUGAUGAUUUUAUAAAUACCUGUGCAAUCAUUUAAGGAUGCUGUUAUAACUUGCUAUCACAGGAUUCAGGUCCAAGAACCCUCUCUUAGGAUCUGCACUGGGACCUACCCCUUUUUGGCAACAUGUUCUUGGCAACCACGAAGGGACUAUCCUGAGGAGAUCCCUGACCCAAAGGAAAUAGACUGCAGAACCAAUUGGCUGACUUUGGGAGGUGCGACAGGCUUCAAGCCAAGGCUGUCUGACCUGAGACAAACCAAUGAUCACUCUCACACGCAUUAUCUAAAUAAAACUUAUCCACUU